CCUACGGGUGGCAGCAGUGGGGAAUAUUGCACAAUGGGGGAAACCCUGAUGCAGCGACGCCGCGUGAGUGAAGAAGUAAUUCGUUAUGUAAAGCUUCAUCAGUAGGGAAGUAAAGGACGGUACCUGAGUAAGAAGCCCCGGCUAACUUCGUUCCAGCAGCCGCGGUAAUACGUAGGGGGCAAGCGUUAUCCGAAUUUACUGGGUGUAAAGGGAGCGUAGACGGCAGUGCAAGUCUGGGGUGAAAGGCGGGGGGUCAACCCCCGGACUCUCUGGAAACUGUACGGCUGGAGUGCAGGAGAGGUAAGUGGAAUUCCUGGUGUAGCGGUGAAAUGCGUAGAUAUUAGGAGGAACACCAGUGGCGAAGGCAGCUUACUAAACUGUAACUGACGUUGAGGCUCGAAAGCGUGGGGAGCAAACAGGAUUAGAUACCCUAGUAGUC
rnacentral:rRNA from 1 species